GACCGCUCCGGUGGCCUAGUGGUUAGAGCGUCCGCCUCAGAUGCGGAGGUCGUGGGUUCGAUCUCCGGCUGAGUCA